ensembl:lncRNA
UUUGAGGAUUAAUUUUUUUUUUUUAAUCCUGUCAAGAUUCCCGGGGUAACUUGCCUGGCUGACACCAGCUCUCAAAGUUCUACUGUCGACGUGUCUGGUUGCGUCAGCCAAGCUAUGAGUCUAUUACAGGGGCAGAGGGAGUUGGUUCAGCUAAGAAAGGAGAGUGAAGAGACAGGUGGGACGGAGGAACAACUCACAGAGCAACUUGGGUCUACUGGCUUUCUCAGGGACAAAACAACAGACUGUUCACGAUUCCGGUUUGUUUAUUCAAUGUAGCGAUUUCUCGAUUACUGGUCAGAUGCUCUAUCCAGUAGGCCACCUGCUGCACUCCAUCAACCUCUCAACGCAACCCUCUAAACCAACAUAACAUCAUCAUAAUUAAGCUACUUACCACACACUUCCAAACCAUUAUAAUUACUACCACUGAACACCAUGUCCUAAAGUCUGUCUUUUAAAACACAUGGUAUGUUGGCCUGGUAGAACAGUAGUUAGUUCUAGGGCUUAAUCUGUGUCUGGGGAAACUGGCUCCUAAUGAUUCAUAAGACAGAGACGGUCCUUCAUCUACUUGGGUUGGCAUUUGUUUGAUGGCGGGGGGGAACACGAGGGCAUGUCUCUGUCACGAGAACAACCUGGAAAGACAAAGCAAGGCAAGUGAACAACGGCCCGAGGGAUCCAGAAUGUCUGGUGGUUGCUCGUUUCAUACAGGGCACGGUGCCAGUAACUGUUGUCCAGCCCUUGAGCAAGGCAGGUAACCUAUAGGGUUCCAAGGUGGCCAUUAAUAACAGCUGUGUCUUAAUGUGAUAGGCAAAUAAGAAAUGUUUUGUAUAAUACACAAUGUACAUGUGUGAAAUAGAACAAAUGCAGCCACCCAUUGUUAUUAUUGUUGUUAGUAUUAUUAUGUUAUUGUGACUAAGGUUCUAUGUGUUGUUGCCUUGUCGUGUUCUAGUGACUCCUUCUGGUUGAUUUGGGCACCUGCAAGCUUAACUGUGGCCAUUAACCAGUGAAGUGCCAUUGGUUCUUGGUUGAGGGAGCAGUGUUAUAAGCGUUAUGGUCUGGAGGGAUAGGCUCAGGAGGACACAUGUCCUUGACUCCUGAACCAGUUCGAAGCUGCUGCCAAUUCAAAAUUAAAUAAACAACUGCCUCACAACUGGGUUUUGUCUGCUAAUCAUCUGUUACAGCGUCAGUGUCUAGUGCUGUUAUAGGAUCAGGUCCCCUCUGUCUUUGUUCAGCAUGAUCUAAAUGUAAACACUCUUCGUAGACCCUGCUUUUUAAACACGGGCCCAGAUAGUCAUUGAGAAAAUAAUCAGAGGAAAGUUUGGCGUGUGUAGGCAUCCUCCUCCGCUUAGCAUAGUGACUUUGAUUGAUAACUAUAUAAACUGUC